UUGGCCUUUGCUUUCAUUGUCAGAGUCUGUGUCAAUAGCUGGAAAUCCAGGCACAGCCCGUGGAGACAUCUUCCCAUCCCAAGCAGCAACCUCACAAAGGGCAGGACUCCCCCCUUUAUAGGGAAAACAAACAAGUCUGGGGUCUCCCAGGGACUGUGGGCUUGGGGGAGGGGAGCAGGCAGCCAGCUGGCUCAGCCUGGCCUAAGCUCCCACCCUCAGUAGCUUCCCACUCCUAGCUGCCUUUCGCCUAGCAGAAGUGGAUGGGGAGGGAAGCUGUAAUCUGCGGGAGUUCAGCAGGCUCAAGCCUCAGCUGCCUCCAGCCCAGCCAUCCCUCUGGGUACUGCUCUCCCAGCCAGGGUGACCUCCGAGCAAAGAUCCAGAAUCCGUAGGAAGACAAACCUCUGGGCAUGUCUGCGAAGCAAAUUCUAGACUGGGUUACCCUGAGGAAAGAGACUCAUCCUGAAUGUGAGCAUCACUCUCACAUGGCUGCUAACCUGGGCUGAGGAAAGAAGAGAAGGCAAGCUGAGCCCCAGCAUUCAUCUCGCUCUGCUUCCUGGUUACCUCCUUGGUGUCCCCUGGUCACCAAGGGCUGCCCCUGGCUACAGGGCCUAGGUUAUAGCUUCCAGGUCAAGAUUAAAGUGAGUGUCAAGGA